rnacentral:rRNA from 1 species
GAUGAACGCUGGCGGCGUGCCUAAUACAUGCAAGUCGAGCGAACAGACGAGGAGCUUGCUCCUCUGACGUUAGCGGCGGACGGGUGAGUAACACGUGGAUAACCUACCUAUAAGACUGGGAUAACUUCGGGAAACCGGAGCUAAUACCGGAUAAUAUAUUGAACCGCAUGGUUCAAUAGUGAAAGACGGUUUUGCUGUCACUUAUAGAUGGAUCCGCGCCGCAUUAGCUAGUUGGUAAGGUAACGGCUUACCAAGGCAACGAUGCGUAGCCGACCUGAGAGGGUGAUCGGCCACACUGGAACUGAGAUACGGUCCAGACUCCUACGGGAGGCAGCAGUAGGGAAUCUUCCGCAAUGGGCGAAAGCUUGACGGAGCAACGCCGCGUGAGUGAUGAAGGUCUUCGGAUCGUAAAACUCUGUUAUUAGGGAAGAACAAAUGUGUAAGUAACUAUGCACGUCUUGACGGUGCCUAAUCAGAAAGCCACGGCUAACUACGUG